AGAGUUUGAUCAUGGCUCAGGACGAACGCUGGCGGCGUGCUUAACACAUGCAAGUCGAACGGAAAGGCCCUUCGGGGUGCUCGAGUGGCGAACGGGUGAGUAACACGUGGGUGAUCUGCCCUGCACUUUGGGAUAAGCCUGGGAAACUGGGUCUAAUACCGAAUAGGACUGCGCUCUUCAUGGGGUGUGGUGGAAAGCUUUUGCGGUGUGGGAUGGGCCCGCGGCCUAUCAGCUUGUUGGUGGGGUAAUGGCCUACCAAGGCGACGACGGGUAGCCGGCCUGAGAGGGUGACCGGCCACACUGGGACUGAGAUACGGCCCAGACUCCUACGGGAGGCAGCAGUGGGGAGUAUUGCACAAUGGGCGCAAGCCUGAUGCAGCGACGCCGCGUGAGGGAUGACGGCCUUCGGGUUGUAAACCUCUUUCAGCACAGACGAAGCGCGAGUGACGGUAUGUGCAGAAGAAGGACCGGCCAACUACGUGCCAGCAGCCGCGGUAAUACGUAGGGUCCGAGCGUUGUCCGGAAUUACUGGGCGUAAAGAGCUCGUAGGUGGUUUGUCGCGUUGUUCGUGAAAACUCACAGCUUAACUGUGGGCGUGCGGGCGAUACGGGCAGACUGGAGUACUGCAGGGGAGACUGGAAUUCCUGGUGUAGCGGUGGAAUGCGCAGAUAUCAGGAGGAACACCGGUGGCGAAGGCGGGUCUCUGGGCGGUAACUGACGCUGAGGAGCGAAAGCGUGGGGAGCGAACAGGAUUAGAUACCCUGGUAGUCC
rnacentral:rRNA from 1 species